UACGGAGGGGGCUAGCGUUGUUCGGAAUUACUGGGCGUAAAGCGCACGUAGGCGGCUUUGCAAGUUAGAGGUGAAAGCCCGGGGCUCAACUCCGGAAUUGCUUUGAUACUGGGUAUCUCGAGUCCGAGAGAGGUGAGUGGAAUUCCGAGUGUAGAGGUGAAAUUCGUAGAUAUUCGGAGGAACACCAGUGGCGAAGGCGGCUCACUGGCUCGGUACUGACGCUGAGGUGCGAAAGCGUGGGGAGCAAACAGG
rnacentral:rRNA from 1 species